UACGUAGGGUGCAAGCGUUAAUCGGAAUUACUGGGCGUAAAGCGUGCGCAGGCGGUUGUGUAAGUCAGAUGUGAAAUCCCCGGGCUCAACCUGGGAAUGGCAUUUGAGACUGCACAGCUAGAGUGUGUCAGAGGGGGGUAGAAUUCCACGUGUAGCAGUGAAAUGCGUAGAGAUGUGGAGGAAUACCGAUGGCGAAGGCAGCCCCCUGGGAUAACACUGACGCUCAUGCACGAAAGCGUGGGGAGCAAACAGG
rnacentral:rRNA from 1 species